rnacentral:rRNA from 1 species
GAUGAACGCUGGCGGCGUGCCUAAUACAUGCAGGUCGAGCGAACAGACGAGGAGCUUGCUCCUCUGACGUUAGCGGCGGACGGGGGAGUAACACGUGGAUAACCUACCUAUAAGACUGGGAUAACUUCGGGAAACCGGAGCUAAUACCGGAUAAUAUAUUGAACCGCAUGGUUCAAUAGUGAAAGACGGUUUUGCUGUCACUUAUAGAUGGAUCCGCGCCGCAUUAGCUAGUUGGUAAGGUAACGGCUUACCAAGGCAACGAUGCGUAGCCGACCUGAGAGGGUGAUCGGCCACACUGGGACUGAGACACGGUCCAGACUCCUACGGGAGGCAGCAGUAGGGAAUCUUCCGCAAUGGGCGAAAGCCUGACGGAGCAACGCCGCGUGAGUGAUGAAGGAUUUCGGAUCGUAAAGCUCUGUUAUUAGGGAAGAACGAAUAUGUAAGUAACUAUGCAGUAAUUGACGGUACCUAACCAGAAAGCCACGGCUAACUACGUG